rnacentral:rRNA from 1 species
AGCGAACGCUGGCGGCAGGCCUAACACAUGCAAGUCGAACGAACCCUUCGGGGUUAGUGGCGGACAGGUGAGUAACACGUGGGAACGUGCCUUUAGGUUCGGAAUAACUCAGGGAAACUUGUGCUAAUACCGAAUGUGCCCUUCGGGGGAAAGAUUUAUCGCCUUUAGAGCGGCCCGCGUCUGAUUAGCUAGUUGGUGAGGUAACGGCUCACCAAGGCUACGAUCAGUAGCUGGGCUGAGAGGAUGACCAGCCACAUUGGGACUGAGACACGGCCCAAACUCCUACGGGAGGCAGCAGUGGGGAAUCUUGCGCAAUGGGCGAAAGCCUGACGCAGCCAUGCCGCGUGGAUGAUGAAGGUCUUAGGAUUGUAAAAUCCUUUCACCGGUGAAGAUAAUGACUGUAGCCGGAGAAGAAGCCCCGGCUAACUUCGUGCCAGCCGCCGCGGUAAGAC